rnacentral:rRNA from 1 species
AGAGUUUGAUCCUGGCUCAGGACGAACGCUGGCGGCGUGCUUAACACAUGCAAGUCGAGCGAUGAAAGCCUUCGGGCUGGAUUAGCGGCGGACGGGUGAGUAACACGUGGGUAACCUGCCUCAAAGAGGGGGAUAGCCUUCCGAAAGGAAGAUUAAUACCGCAUAACAUCAUUUUAUUGCAUGAUAGAAUGAUUAAAGGAGCAAUCCGCUUUGAGAUGGACCCGCGGCGCAUUAGCUAGUUGGUGAGGUAACGGCUCACCAAGGCGACGAUGCGUAGCCGACCUGAGAGGGUGAUCGGCCACAUUGGAACUGAGAUACGGUCCAGACUCCUACGGGAGGCAGCAGUGGGGAAUAUUGCACAAUGGGCGAAAGCCUGAUGCAGCAACGCCGCGUGAGUGAUGAAGGCCUUCGGGUUGUAAAGCUCUGUCUUUUGGGACGAUAAUGACGGUACCAAAGGAGGAAGCCACGGCUAACUACGUGCCAGCAGCCGCGGUAAUACGUAGGUGGCAAGCGUUGUCCGGAUUUACUGGGCGUAAAGGGUGUGUAGGCGGAUGUUUAAGUGAGAUGUGAAAUCCCUAAGCUUAACUUGGGGGCUGCAUUUCAAACUGGGCAUCUUGAGUGUGGGAGAGGAGAAUGGAAUUCCUAGUGUAGCGGUGAAAUGCGUAGAGAUUAGGAAGAACACCAGUGGCGAAGGCGAUUCUCUGGACCAUAACUGACGCUGAGGCACGAAAGCGUGGGAGCAAACAGGAUUAGAUACCCUGGUAGUCCACGCCGUAAACGAUGAAUACUAGGUGUAGGAG